UCCCUGGUGGUCCAGUGGCUAAGACUCCACAUUCUCAAUGCAGGGGACCCGGGGUUCGAUCCCUGGUCAGGGAA
rnacentral:tRNA from 1 species